rnacentral:tRNA from 1 species
GCAGGUAUCGUAUAUCGGUAUUACCCAUGCUUCCCAUGCAUGUGAGGCGAGUUCGACUCUCGCUACCUGCUCCA